ACUCUUAUGUUUAUGCAUAUCGUUUUUUAACUAAUGGUAUCUUCUAGAAAUCAUUAAUGUCAGUUUACAUCUGACUUUCUGCUGCUCUUCCUCUCACAUUAUUCAUGUUUGAAAGGCUGUUCAUAGCAUUUGUCAGAGAAUGGCUCUUUACCUUCCCAGUGCCAUCUGUUUGGACUGUGCAAGCGGGGAGAUAUUCCUACUUUGCAGUCUCUUUACAAAGAACAGGCUGCAUCCACCAUUUGCAGCUCCUGCCAGGGCAAAGAAUAACAACCAAUUGGGGAAUACAUAAAACAAAUUGGAUGAUGCUUCAGAGAGCCUCUGUAGCCCAACAAGAAAGCAGAAAGCACCAGUUGGAAAAGCUAAACCUUCCAGGAGCAUCUUGCAGACAUGCAGACAGCUGGGCGAAUGGAGGGACUGUGAAGACAUUCCUCAGCUGCUUCAGCGAAAGCUUUGGUCAGGUCAGCUUCAGAACCACGGGAAGCAAUAACACCAGGAGGAGUGGCUGGAACAGGUGGGGAGCAGGAAGGAUGGGAUGAGGGGUCUCCAAUUGGCUGUUUCUGUGGUGGACUCUCCCCAUUGCUUUAACUCGGGGCCCCCUGUACACGGAGAACAGCUGUGGAUGUGAUUUGUCUCGCUUAAACUGAGGCACAGAAAAGGUAGAUGCUGCAAUCUAAAGGAUGUUUCUUUUGCAACGAAUGGAGAUACACCUCCAAAGAGCUCUUUGUCUAACUUCUUGUAGAUGGCUAUCUAAGGAUGAGAUGAUUGUCCCCUGUAUCUUUCCAUGGACCACAGAAGGAAACUAGACCUGGCCCUUAGCAGUUAGCUUUUUGAUUUGUAUUUUGGGACAUCUAAACCCACCAUAUAGAGAAGGCAGGACUAGAGAUGGAUGCAAAGAACAAUCACAGGCCUAAUUAUUUCUGUGAGAUGAAAGGGGUGAAUACAUGGAAUGCAUUUAUCUUUUCAGUAUCAGAGUGAACGUCCUGUAAAUUCUCAGCUCUGGUACUGUGGUUGUCUGUGCAUUUGAUGCAAAGCAACCAGAUCGUUAGGUGAAGUUCUCUGGCAGAGCUGUGUGCUGGGCCUGCAGAACCCUCAUCUCUCUUUGAUUCAGUGGAGAAGUACUGCAUUCCCCCCUGAUUUGUGGGUGUGAUCUCAAAAAGCAAAACUGGAACAGCAGGAACACAUUCCCAGAAGUACAACAGUGUGAUGGGGCUGUUAUCACUUAGACCAGCUAGAGGGUGGUUUCUGAUCUAGCUCCAAAUGCCGUCCAUCUAAACCUGCAGAAAUUAACCUCUGCAUCUUUUGAGAUGUAUUCAAAUCUACAGGCCUGAAAAGAUGCCCUGCGUUUCCCCAUAUGUCAGAGUAGUGAGGUCAGCAUGAAUUCCAAGUCCUGAAGCCACAGAGCUGAAGUGCAAACUUGGAGCUUGGGCUGUGGAUUGUUUCAGUGAUUCUACUAAGUCUGGCUUACAAGGGUAUUACUUUAAUCUACCAAUGACUUCCUUGCAUAUACAUGUAAUAAUAUACAUCAUCCUGAGUUCCUGGUCAUGCAUACGGCUGCUCAGCUAUGCACAGCCACCUUAUCAGUCAGGCUUCGGUGGUGGUGACUCUGUUGAAAAAAUGGAAGCAAUGAUAAGGAAAAGGCAGUAGAAACUGGAAAUGCUGUUUGCUGCAAACAGUGCCCCAGCUGAGUCCAGGCCAGACUGGACCUGAGCGCACUGAAGGAUAAGGGUCUGACUUCUUUUCCACCUGGUUCUCUGGUGUUUCUGCAUUGCCGGCCAGGGUUGGUGAUCAGCACCUGGACGUGCAGCUAUGGCUGUAAUUCACAGAUGUUAUCUGAGUGCAAUGGAAUAAGGGGCAGAGCCAGGUUCGAAGUGGAUGCCGUGGCUGAACAUCACGGCUCACUCAGCCGCCCAACAGAGACCAUCUGGAUCCGGUUCUGUUCAUCCACCUGAGUUGGAAAACUCUGCCACAAGGAUGACGCCGGGCAGUGUGCAGGUAGUUCAGAGCUGCCGGGGGCUGCAGUGCUCCUCGUGGUCACUAAAGCUGUGAAGGUAAAGCAGCGGUUGCUGAGCUGUGCCCUGGAGACUGACAGACUGCCAUUCACAAGAUGGAUCUUGCAGACUUCAGCACAUCUACAGCAUCGGGAACACCAAACGAUGAUGGCCAGAAGGUCGAUAUGUGCCCUCUGAGGAAACACCUUCAAGCAGAACCUCACUUUCUGAUCUUCCUGAAGUCUCAGAAUCCAGAUUACGCAUCAUCCCUAUGCGGAAUCAGGACAACCUCCCUCUGAGAAUUCAGAGCCUGCAGGAUGCUUAGUAGGACAUGCCUGGAAUUACACAGAUUAUGCCUCCUUGCAUGGGAGAAGUAGAAAAGUCACAGCAUGGGUUAAAAAUACGCUUGUCUUCUCUCAAUAAUUAAUUGUUUAGGGAUUAACAUGAGGUUUUGUGUUUUGAAAGUAAACUAAUCCACUCGUUGGCUGGUGUGUAAUGAAGGAGAACAGGUUACUGUCAAGCAGGCUGAAAACAGUGAAAAUUAACUACAAGUGCCACGACUCACAUAUUUUAUGUAUAUGAGUAAUGUAUUCUCUGUGGGACAGAAGAUGAAAAUAUCACACAGAAAAGAAAAACACAGUGGCUACAAAUUUAAUAAAACAAGCAGUCAUACUUAGCCUCGCAGUAUAGUCUGGCAUUUUUACUGCCCGAUGGUAUCAAGGUUGGGCCAGUGCAAGAGAAUUCAUGCUCGUGAACUCACAAGAAGCACAAACUUCACUUUCUGCAGCCUCUCUGCUUGCAGAGCUAGCAAAAGGGAAGGAAAAUACAACUAAAACCAAGAAAACACUGAAUUAAAAU
ensembl:lncRNA